CCUACGGGAGGCAGCAGUGAGGAAUAUUGGUCAAUGGGCGCGAGCCUGAACCAGCCAAGUCGCGUGAGGGAGGACGGCCCUACGGGUUGUAAACCUCUUUUGCCGGGGAGCAACGGGCGUCACGCGUGUCGCCACUGAGAGUACCCGGAGAAAAAGCAUCGGCUAACUCCGUGCCAGCAGCCGCGGUAAUACGGAGGAUGCGAGCGUUAUCCGGAUUUAUUGGGUUUAAAGGGUGCGUAGGCGGAUCGUUAAGUCAGGGGUAAAAUUGAGGGGCUAAACCCCUUCCCGCCAUUGAUACUGGCGUUCUAGAGUGGAGGAGAGGUAUGCGGAAUGCGUGGUGUAGCGGUGAAAUGCAUAGAUAUCACGCAGAACACCGAUUGCGAAGGCAGCAUGCCGGCUUCCGACUGACGCUGAAGCACGAAAGCGUGGGGAUCGAACAGGAUUAGAUACCCCUGUAGUC
rnacentral:rRNA from 1 species